AUCAUCCUGGCUCUAUCCCUAG
rnacentral:miRNA from 1 species